rnacentral:rRNA from 1 species
UUACCUGGCCUUGACAUACUAAGAACUUUCCAGAGAUGGAUUGGUGCCUUCGGGAACUUAGAUACAGGUGCUUCAUGGCUGUCGUCAGCUCGUGUCGUGAGAUGUUGGGUUAAGUCCCGCAACGAGCGCAACCCUUUUCCUUAUUGCCAGCGGGUUAAGCCGGGAACUUUAAGGAUACUGCCAGUGACAAACUGGAGGAAGGCGGGGACGACGUCAAGUCAUCAUGGCCCUUACGGCCAGGGCUACACACGUGCUACAAUGGUCGGUACAAAGGGUUGCUACCUCGCGAGAGGAUGCUAAUCUCAAAAAGCCGAUCGUAGUCCGGAUCGCAGUCUGCAACUCGACUGCGUGAAGUCGGAAUCGCUAGUAAUCGCGGAUCAGAAUGCCGCGGUGAAUACGUUCCCGGGCCUUGUACACACCGCCCGUCACACCAUGGGAGUUUGUUGCACCAGAAGUAGGUAGUCUAACCGCAAGGAGGACGCUUACCACGGUGUGGCCGAUGACUGGGGUGAAGUCGUAACAAGGUAGGCGUAGAUGA